GCGGAAGUGGCUCAAUGGUAGAGCUCAAUGGUAGAGCACCACCUUGCCAAGGUGGAUGUUGCGGGUUCGAGUCCCGUCUUCCGCUCCA
rnacentral:tRNA from 1 species